GAUGAACGCUGGCGGCGUGCCUAAUACAUGCAAGUCGAGCGAACAGAUGAGGAGCUUGCUCCUCUGACGUUAGCGGCGGACGGGUGAGUAACACGUGGAUAACCUACCUAUAAGACUGGGAUAACUUCGGGAAACCGGAGCUAAUACCGGAUAAUAUAUUGAACCGCAUGGUUCAAUAGUGAAAGACGGUUUUGCUGUCACUUAUAGAUGGAUCCGCGCCGCAUUAGCUAGUUGGUAAGGUAACGGCUUACCAAGGCAACGAUGCGUAGCCGACCUGAGAGGGUGAUCCGCCACACUGGAACUGAGACAAGGUCCAGACUCCUACGGGAGGCAGCAGUAGGGAAUCUUCCCGAAUGGGCGAAAGCCUGACCGAGCAAAGCCGCGGGGGUGAAGAAGGUCUUCGGAUCGUAAAACUCUGUUAUUAGGGAAGAACAAAUGUGUAAGUAACUAUGCACGUCUUGACGGUACCUAAUCAGAAAGCCACGGCUAACUACGUG
rnacentral:rRNA from 1 species